CUCGAGCCUCGGUCGGAAGCGACAACACCCGGCUGGAGCCCGGCCAGGUGGCCGGGAUGCUGGCGCGAGGAGGGCAGAGGCAGAGACAGAUAAAGAAAAGAUUGCCCUCUGAGCUCCAGGGCGAGAGAAGUAUGAAACUGGGCAUCCCUGCCUCGCCUGGGGCGGCAGCGGCGAGGACAGCGGACAGACUUGCUGCGCCCGCCGCCUGGCCACCGGCGAGGAAGCCAGCGAGGAGCGAUCCAUUCUGGGCUUGAGGCGCCUGGGAGUACAUGCAACGGAACUAAGAAGUACUGAGAAGUUGAUGACAACUGGGAAGACGACCUAGUGGAUGUGCCAAAUGCAGGCACCUGGGUUGAUGAGAUGUGGAACUCUUCCUUGGAGGCCAUGCCCAGCCCGACAGCCUUUCUCCUAGCAUUCAAUCCAGUAGAUCGUGUGACUAGAAAGGAAAAGUGCUAUUCGCUUUGUACCAACGAGCCUACCUGCUAUUUCGAUCCCUUGGUUAGGGGAACCAAUUGUUAUAAAUGUUAAUUAUUGGCUCGGAUAUAUAAGGUUUCCCAAAAUGGAACCUUUCACUGAAAACCACUAAAAGAGGUAAAAUGACAUGAAUUUACAAACCACAUAAACCAAAUGAUCCAUUUUAAAUCGCACACGGAAAGGUUUGACUCGUUCUAGUAACUUAAAACCUUUUGCUGUCAAUGCAAAUCACAAGAAAACAGAGAUGCGUCGGAAAUUUAAAGGCGACGAGCAACCCUAGCUGCUGCUCUCGCAGCUUCGUGGCUCCCGAGGGUAACGCGGCUGGAAGGGGGCUCCCAACGCCAGGUUUCUGCUGGCCAGUGCCUCUACUGUGCAGGUAACGGCUGGGUGCGCACAAAGAAAGUCAACGCGGAGGCACCAGUUGGUGAUGGGGUUGACAGAAGGCCUUGGUUCAAAAACUUCUAUCUGGGACCCACUUGUUUCCCUUCUGACUUGAAGAGAGGUGCUUUGAGGCUCCCGGCCCGCUUUCUUGGAAUUCCUUUGCCUUCGAGAAGGACAGCGGGGAUUCUGCUCUACCUACAGAUAUUUGGAUAAGAAGGGCUUUGGGACCGGUGUUUCUCCAAUAAAUUAGCGUCGUCGCUCUGGGCAGCGCUGAGACGUCCCCAAUCCUGACUGAAGUGACAACGCUGAUCUUUUUCCUCUACUUAGUGGGAAACGCCAGGUGCCCUCGACCCUUGGGACCCUUGGGACCCGUGCUCCGACGGCGGCGGCGCCCACCUGCCUCCUGAGGACGCUGCUCCGCGCGAGCGCUGAAUAGGCCGAGGGCUCAGGCAGGGCGAUUUGCGGACCCGGAGAAGAGAAACCCAAAACCAGUCCAUUAGUAAAUGAGUUUUGUGUUGUCAAGGUUCUUUCCCAUCCACUUGCUGUUCUGAAAAAUAGAUCACGUUUCGUUAUCUUUA